rnacentral:rRNA from 1 species
GACGAACGCUGGCGGCGUGCUUAACACAUGCAAGUCGUACGGUAAGGCCCUGCUGGGGGUGCACGAGUGGCGAACGGGUGGGUAAAACACGAGUAACUCGCCCACCACUGUGGGAUAAAGCUCGGAAACUGGUUGUAAUUCUUGCUUUGUGCUCCUGCUGGAUGGUGGGGGUUGGAUAGCUCGCGGGGUUGGGGAUGGACUCGCGGCCUAUCAGCUAGUUGGUGGGGUAGUGGCCUACCUAGGGGGCGGCGGGUGGGUGGCCUGAGGGGGUGAACGGCCCAAUUUGGACUGAGGUACGGCCCCAGCCCCGACGGGGGGCAACAGGGGGGAAAUAUGCCAAAUGGGCGCAAGGCUGGUGCAGCAACGCCGCGGUCGGGAAGACGGCCUUCGGGUUGUAAACCGCUUUCAGCAGGGACGAAGCUUUUUGUGACGGUACCUGCAGAAGAAGCACCGGCUAACUACGUG